GGUUGUGCUUGCUAGGUGAGUUUUCAAGCGACUGUUCAAAAAACAAAACGCCAAAACUAGAAAAUGAAGAGAAAGAGAGGAGCCGAAGAGCACAGUAUGGAGAUCGUUUGGCAAACGCCAGCGAAUCCUCCAGAGAAACGCGAUUACAUAUUUCGAGAUGGGAGGCGCCAUGUCAGACCAUACUACUUCGAGUUCAUCUCUCAUGUUAAAAAUCGCUGGGCUGGAAAAACAAUCGUCGAUUUGUUCGCUGAAGAGUUCAAAGGCCGACCAUAUGAUUACUAUGUUAGUGCCGUCAAAUGUGGACGGAUACAAGUUGAUGGAGAGAUGGUGCCAGUUUCUUACAUAGUUAAAUCAUCACAGAAAAUUAGCCAUUUCUUACACAGGCAUGAACCGCCAGCAAUGGCUUGGGAAGUUUCCGUUCUUCAGAAAGAACUGGAUGUACUGACGGUUUGCAAGCCACCAUCUGUACCAGUGCAUCCGUGUGGUCAAUAUCGUAAGAACACAGUUGUUGGCAUUCUUCAGGCAGAGUAUGGCUUGGCCCCUUUAUUUCCAGUUCAUCGAUUAGAUCGUCUUGUCUCAGGGCUUCUUAUCUUGGCUAGAAAUGCUUCUAAAGCUGACUUGUUUAGGCAACAGAUUGAAGCUGGUAAAGUGCAGAAAGAGUAUGUUGCAAAGGUUAUAGGGGUAUUUCCAGAGGGUGAGCAAGUUGUUGAUGUAAACAUAAAUUAUGAUGCUAGGGCAGGAAGGAGCACUGCAGAGGUGGGUGACUCUUUUGGUGAUACGCCUUUGAAGGGAAAGGCUGCUUGUACAAAGUUUACCAGGAUUAGUACCAAUGGAACUCAUAGUAUUGUGUUGUGCAAACCAAUCACUGGCCGGACUCAUCAAGUUGGGAUAAAGGCUUAUUUUUCCUAUUACAAAUUCUCCUUCUGGUGCAGAUACGUGUGCAUUUACAAUAUACUGGCCAUCCAAUUGCCAAUGACUUGCUUUACCUCUCUGAACCAGUUUCUGAACGUGCCACACAAGGAAUGAGUGCUGACAGAUCUUCUUAUUCAGGGCAUUCUUUAACAUCCAUUACUCAUGAAAAUUGCCUUGAUAGAGAUGAUAACUCUAGUGAAGAAUUCAGCAUUGAUCCUAUGUGUACAAAUUGUCCAAACUUGGCUCCAAAAGGAUAUGAUGUACAUGAAGGUGGUUUAUGGCUUCACUGUGUUCGGUACUCUGGACCUGGGUGGGUUUAUGAAUGCCCAUAUCCCGAUUGGGCAUCAAUUGUUUAAGCAUUUUUUCUUUCGUUAUUAAAACAAUUAAUGCCUUCUGGGGAAAAAGGUGAGUAGGAGCAGUCUCAUAAUUUUGUGAAAUUGUAGGAUAUUUCUCUUUAGUUUGAAAUUAUCUGGGGCCAAGCCGCCAAGGAUUGAACUUGAUCAAAAUUUCCUGGUCUUUGCUGGACAUAUCCAUUAGAUUUGUGACUAAGGGUUGUUUUUGAAUUGUUUUAUUAGUAUUACUCAUUGUAUUUUCUGUGUUUCUGAUGACUGAUGUUAUUGAAUCUUUUUGCAAGCUCCUUUUAACCAUUUAUUAAAUUUAAACAUUAUAUGAUUUAACUCCA